UACGGAGGAGGCAAGCGUUAUCCGGAAUUAUUGGGCGUAAAGCGUCCGUAGGUGGUUGGACAAGUCAGCUGUUAAAGAGUGGUGCUUAACACCAUAAAGGCGGUUGAAACUGUUUGACUAGAGUUUGGUAGGGGUUGCGGGAAUUCCCAGUGUAGCGGUGAAAUGCGUAGAUAUUGGGAAGAACACCGGUGGCGAAAGCGCGCGACUGGACCUGAACUGACACUGAGGGACGAAAGCUAGGGGAGCGAAAGGGAUUAGAACCCCUGUAGUCC
rnacentral:rRNA from 1 species